GAUGAACGCUGGCGGCGUGCCUAAUACAUGCAAGUCGAGCGAACAGACGAGGAGCUUGCUCCUCUGACGUUAGCGGCGGACGGGUGAGUAACACGUGGAUAACCUACCUAUAAGACUGGGAUAACUUCGGGAAACCGGAGCUAAUACCGGAUAAUAUAUUGAACCGCAUGGUUCAAUAGUGAAAGACGGUUUUGCUGUCACUUAUAGAUGGAUCCGCGCCGCAUUAGCUAGUUGGUAAGGUAACGGCUUACCAAGGCAACGAUGCGUAGCCGACCUGAGAGGGUGAUCGGCCACACUGGAACUGAGACACGGGCCCGACUCCCACGGGAGGCAGCAGUAGGGAAUCUUCCGCAAUGGGCGAAAGCCUGACGGAGCAACGCCGCGUGAGUGAUGAAGGUCUUCGGAUCGUAAAACUCUGUUAUUAGGGAAGAACAAAUGUGUAAGUAACUAUGCACGUCUUGACGGUACCUAAUCAGAAAGCCACGGCUAACUACGUG
rnacentral:rRNA from 1 species